ACCUAGAUCGGUGAAAGGCCCCUUCUCUCUUCCUCAUCCAAUCCCCACCUUCUCUCACCCAAAUUCGCCGCCGCCUCCUCUCCCCCACUCCACGAGCCGGUGCAGACGGCUCAAAAGGUUCGCCCCGAGGUCGACCUCGCCGAGCGGCGAGCAGGCGGAGCCGUAGGGGACGGCCACGGCGGCGUGCGAGAGGAGGCGCCGCAGAGCGCGGCCGGGCCGUCGGGGUCGGGGCCACGAUUCGGCGACCAGGCCACGGCGCCGUAGCAGCAGCUGGCGGCGGCGGCCAGGCCAGGGCGGACUGGGGUGGGGGCCGCAUCUCGCGUCGCAGGGAUGGAAGUCCUGGUGGAGCGUGUGGCCCUACUCCGUCUCCUCCCCACCUUCUCCCUCCCGCGCAUCAGUGGUGCUGUGGUGGACAGGGGCCAUCUGGAUCUUUCACUGUGAAUAACGUCCAAGUGUUUCCUGGCUAUGUUCUGGAAUUGGUUCAUCUAUGGAAGGGUCCAACUCCAAAGCAUUGUCUGUUGGUGAUGAAGUGAAAUACAGGUAUUUGUUUUACUCCUGGUAGAGCAGCUGGAGGAGGGCUGCAGCAGGAGUGUGCGAAUCUGCAAGGCUGUGCACGAGCUCGAGGAUGGCGCCGAUGGGUCAGCCAACUCCCGCGGCAGAUAUUUCUUGGAUGGGCUCUGUGGAUUUUGUGUUCUGCUACUGCCAGGUUCAAAUGGGAGUUGAGAGUACCAUGUGCGGCAUCAACCAAAGUGUGCACUUUUUCUUUGUUCUUAAGAAAUCAAGUGAGGAACUAAUCUUUUUUUUGCUUCUUUCAUAGUAUUGAGUGUUACAUUUUGUAUUGUGCUGAAGUUGAUCCAAUUUCAGCACCACUCCUCCAGUUCUUGAUAGCAGGAGAGUUCUCUUCUCACCCUAUGUGAAAUCUUUUAUUUUCUGGCGAGAUUGCAAUGAAAUAUAAAUUGGAUACCUCGCUGACCACAUCGCCUUCCGUUUGCCUGCUCUUCCAUACGAACGCUAGCUCUGCGUGGUGGCCACCGCAAGGUUUUGAGGCUGGUUGAGGUUUCAUACAUGUUUUCCCCUUCCCGUUCUUGAUCCGAGAUUCUGUUCUUGAGCCUGAGUGAUGGCUACUGAUGGGAGAAAUAUAGAUUUUUAAACAAUACAUCAACACAUUAUAUGCCCAAAAAAUGUCAUUCUGGACCUCGUGCAUUUACAAAGUAUGCAAUGCAAAUAUUUGCGGUAUACUUAGGAGGUUUGAUUGAUGGAGAAUUCAGGUUGUUAGCAUGCACUUACAUGUGAACAGAAUCAUUAGACUGAAAAUUUAUUUACUUUCUUGCAUUGUUAAUUGUUGUGGUAAAGUGUAUCCCCAAACUAAGGACUUAAUUCCAUGUUUACCUUCAGGCUAAAUGUUGUCUUAAUUAUCUGAAAUAUCAUAUGAUGUUUAUGCUCAAGACAGAGAUUAUUACUGAUCAUUUUAUCACCCAUGUUUAGCCUACGUACAGGGACGACUUGCUUGUAUAUUGUAUUGCUUCUUUUGAUUAUGUGGCUAGCAUUAAUCAUAUAGUGCAUUUUUCAGUUAUAUGUUCCAUGAACAAGGUGCUAUUGUCAGGUAGAUGAAGGAUUCAUUCAUGGGAACAAUAAUGGUUCUCAGAUUUAGAGUCGUGUAUAGGUUUAUAUUUUUUAUGGUAUCAUUUCUGGACCUUGUUUCUGAAUGUACCAUUCUAGACCUUCUUUCUUUGCAGGGGUUGGUUCUGUUCAAUCCGGGGUUUCUUCAUGAUUGUGCUUGCUGGUCGCUUGCCCUGUGUGUUAGUUGUAGUGGUGCAAGCUCUGGCUCAGAGGAGGUGUUCUGAUGGCCUGUGGCAUAUUUCACCGAGGAGGCUCAUCAGCAUGAGUUCCAGGAGGAAUACAGUGCAAGUGAGCUUUACCUGGCAAGUUCAUGAGCAAGAAAAUAUGGUUUGAGAAUAUACCUUUCACGUUGAAUAGGCGGUGCCAUCUGGUUGCCGGUAACUGUGUGUUGAAUCUUCUGCUGGUCAUAUCCUCCUACAACGAUUCUCCAACCCCUCAUUCCCAUGAUCCUCAUCUCAGGCAAGGUGUGCUAUGGAAGAAGAUGAAGUUGUAUAAAAUAUUGGACCCAAUUGUGGCAGGCAAUUUGGAAGGAGGAAUGGACACUGUCUGUGAGGACGCAAGCUGCCCCAAUCACAACUGGGGUUAGGCUGGCGCCUGGCGGUGAUACUCGCACCGCCACCAUCACGAUCCUUGGUGGCACUUGCGCUCACAAAUGCAAAUAAGAGAUUGAUUCUUUUCCUCUUAUUAUUGCAUACAUUAGGCAUCACAAAUAGUUGCUUAGGUUCUUAGCCCAUGUACAUGGAAGCGUAGAUAUCUUUGUAUUUCAGGAUUAGCUUUAGCUAUCCAUUUUUAGGAUUUGUGUGUGUGCACAUUUCUGUAUGCUACGCUGCAGGGCUACACCUUUAGCCAUGUAACUGUUAGUGCAAAGAAUUUGAAUUUUUAGUUUCGUGUAUGUGUUUACUAUAUGCCAACGCUGACGAGUAGUUCCUGCAGUACCUCAAUGGUGUGGAGUCCAUGCUCAACGCCAAGGUGCUGCAGAGCUAUGUACUAGGACUGACAAAAUGGGAGACUUGCAACCCUACACACUGGCUGCCACAUCCCCCAUCAGCAAUCAGAUCACCUUGCUUCCAAGAAAGAAACAGCUCGUGGAAGGGGUGUGAAGGCAAAUGAAUUGACUUCAGGGUUGUGUUCGUAGAUGGUUGCUUCCUUACGAAUUAUGUGGAAUGUAGCGACAAUGUGUUUCCUCGAAAGACUACAGUAUAUUAUAUAUAUCAUAUUGCUGCAUCCAGAUCGGUUAUGGAAGUUCAUACUACUCCGAUUUGUGAUUUCUGGUCCCAUAUCGCAACACUUUGGAUCUUUGUAAAUUGAGUUAGUUCAAGUGCUAUCAACGCCCAUCCUCUUGCUUGAAAACAAAUAAAUUGAACAAAACAGUCUAUUAUUACUUCAGUAUGUGGAGAUCCCUGUGCCGUCAUUGAAGAAAGAUGAAGUUCUUAUAUAAGUUGAAGCAGCAAGCAUCAAUCCAGCGGAUUGUAGGAUCCAUAAGAGGCUGCUACGCCCUUUUCCCCCUUUUAAAUUUCCAUUUAUUCCAGGUAUUGAUACAUCUAUAUUGAAACAUGAGUACUCAUUUACUGAAUCAGUACACCAUAUUUUGUAUCCUCUGCACUAUCGAUAUUUUCAAUGCUAGGAGGCUCUGACUCAUUUCAGAUAAUUCAUGAUUUACUUGUAAAUAAUCGAAAUGAUUGUGCUUUGUAGAACAGUCACCGACGUUGCCAGAGAGAUGUGCAGGUUAUUUUUCUAGAGAAUUGAGUUAGUGAAAUAGUCGAUGAUCUUUCUUUUUUUGUUGUAACCACUCAAAACCUCUCAAAGUUAGGUUUCAGUUUUUUCCAGUGAUCGUUGUUACAAAAUGACCAUCUUAAUUAACUAUGUUUUACUUCUUACAUGCUUUUGUAAAUUAUAACCGAAUUUGUUUGUUGCAUGUUACGUAAUCCUACAAGGAAUGAAGUGGUUUGGUCCUGCCCUUCACUUUGAUUCAGAUUGUGGAAAGCAUAUUUAAUUAACAUAUAUUUACUUGCAGUUGUUAGUUCUCUAAUAUUUUGCUUUAUACCUAUGCUUUUGAGGUGCAGAAAGCCAUGGAGCUUUUGAGAACCCUAUGAUGGCAUUCAGGUACAGAGCCUCUCAAGCUCGGUCUAGAAUCUUUAUGAAAGAAGAGUUAGAAGAGGUCGAGGGGAGAUGGCAUGUGCAACCAGAACUUCACUGAUGCUCUGUGAUACAGCUUGAACACAGGCAUAUGACUCCUCUUGUGGACUGGUUGCUACAAUUGAAAUACUUGGGUUUCUUAUGCCUUCCCUUUACAUAAGGUCCUAUAUCUGUUUCGGAGUCCAAAGUAGAGGAUACUUGAAAUCAUGAGUCACACACAUGCCCUCAUAGCAAGGCUUAAUAUCAGAGGAACCGCCGGUAAUGAUGUAUAGUGAUCUUGGUAUGCAAGUAUGAUCAGGACCAUUUGGGGUGGCCUGCGCGCAUUUGUUCUUUGCUUCUUCGUGAUGCUCCUGAUGUAUUCUUAUUGAAGGAAACGACACUACUUCAUAUGUAAUUAUUGAGUUAUUGGAUGUGUUGAUGGCACCUAAAAACAUGAUAUUUAUACACAUUUAUUUCUCUUU